UGGAAGAUGUGUAGAGGGUUUGGCCU
rnacentral:piRNA from 1 species